rnacentral:rRNA from 1 species
UGCGUAAGGUCCGAGCGUUGUCCGGAAUCACUGGGCGUAAAGGGUUCGCAGGCGGUUUCUUAAGUCAGAUGUGAAAGCCCCGGGCUUAACCUGGGAAUUGCAUUUGAAACUGGGUAACUAGAGUAUGUCAGAGGAAGGCGGAAUUUCCAGUGUAGCAGUGAAAUGCGUAGAGAUUGGAAGGAACACCGAUGGCGAAGGCAGCCUUCUGGGGCAAUACUGACGCUCAUGUGCGAAAGCGUGGGUAGCAAACAGG